UACAGAGGGGGCGAGCGUUGUUCGGAAUUACUGGGCGUAAAGGGCGCGUAGGCGGCCUUCUAAGUCGAACGUGAAAUCCCCGGGCUCAACCCGGGAACUGCGUCCGAUACUGGGAGGCUUGAAUCCGGGAGAGGGAUGUGGAAUUCCAGGUGUAGCGGUGAAAUGCGUAGAUAUCAGGAGGAACACCGGUGGCGAAGGCGGGUCUCUGGGCCGACACUGACGCUGAGGAGCGAAAGCGUGGGGAGCGAACAGG
rnacentral:rRNA from 1 species